rnacentral:rRNA from 1 species
CGGCGGUGGGUAUCUCGCGCUCGCAUCGGUGGGGGACGUGGCGGGGUGCGGUACUUGGUGUGGGUUGCGGGGUCCCGUGGACCGUCGGGUUUUUGGGCCGGGUUGCGCCCGGAACCGCUUGGCUGGGGCGCGUCUGCCUGGGGUCGC